rnacentral:rRNA from 1 species
UAUACAAAGGUAUUGUAAUAAGAUUUUAAUUGAAUGCUAAAAGAAUGGAAAAUUAAAAAAAAACUUUUUUAAAAAUAAAAAUUGAAUUUUUUUUAAUUUGUGCAAAAACAAUUAUAUUUAUUAAAGACAAGAAGACCCUAAGAAUUUAAGAUUUUACAAUUAAAAAGUUUUUUUUUAAAAUCUUGAUUGGGGCGAUCAAAAAAUAUUAAUAACUUUUUAAAAUUUAAAUUGAUCUAUUAUUAAUAAACUAAUGAAUUAAAUACUCUAGGGAUAACAGCGUAAUAAUUUUUGAUAGAUCUUAUUGACAAAAUAGUUUGCGAUCACUCGAUGUUGGAUUAGGAUUCUUUUUUAAUGAAGAAGUAAAAAAAGAAG